rnacentral:rRNA from 1 species
UACGUAGGGUGCGAGCGUUGUCCGGAAUUACUGGGCGUAAAGAGCUCGUAGGUGGUUUGUCGCGUUGUUCGUGAAAACUCAAGGCUUAACCUUGGGCGUGCGGGCGAUACGGGCAGACUGGAGUACUGCAGGGGAGACUGGAAUUCCUGGUGUAGCGGUGAAAUGCGCAGAUAUCAGGAGGAACACCGGUGGCGAAGGCGGUUCUCUGGGCCGAUACUGACGCUGAGGAGCGAAAGCGUGGGGAGCGAACAGG